CUCUCUCCUUCCAUAUUGAUUGUGCUUGUGCAAGCAGAUGCAGAGAGCGCGGAGUCUGCAUCCGUGCAAGGUGGGAGACCGUACGGGGAGAAAUGGGGGUGUGGGUGGGUGGGGGGGGGGGGGAAUGUCGAAAAUGAAUGGCGGCGAGAUACUUUUGGAGCCCGAGCUCUUUGAUUGGGACGUGGUAGCGGCUGGGAGCAUAUGGCGGCGGGCGCUUUCUCUGGGCUCGACUCGCAGGUCUGGUCUAAGGGAGGCGAGGGAGAGAGAAGAAGAAAAAAAAAAACUAAAACUUUUCUUCGCGGGACAUUUUAAAUAACAGGAUCCGGAAGAUGAUAUUCCAGUCUGAGUAACAAGAGGCCAAUAGGAUCCCAGAGACGCGAUCAAUGACCGGUCUUCUGACCUGGCGGAGGGCAAAGAAGUGUGCGUGUGGGGUGGGAGGUGGUCGGCGGUGUGUGAGAGGAAGAGUGCUCUCCUCCAUAUCACGAAUCUCCCUGAAACCUGAGCCUUUAUUGGAUCCGAAGGGCAUUAAAAGGCAGGCCGGCGUCCUCCAGCUUCGGCAAAAGGGGGAUUGCUUUCAUUGAGGAAAGGCGAGGCGCAAAAGCCUCGCAGCACAGCCCAGUCGGGCUCAGUCCGUCUCCCCGUGUGGCCGUCCCAAGGUCUGCGCCGCCGGGCCGGGCCGGGCCGGCCCUCUGACACGUGCGGCGGACCUGGCUCGGGCGCGCGUGCCUCCCGCUGGAAUGUGGCCGAGCAUUGCGCGCUCGCUCCUGGCCCUCACACGUCUGCCCGCAAACGCCGGAAUGUGCUCAACUCGGCUCGUGACAGCGCCGUUGAAAAGUUUCAUUCGAGGGAGCACAGCCUCCUCUUCUGGACAAAAGAGAAAGUAGCAAGAAGAGCGCGAUGGAGCCCCCCGUCGGCGCCGUGUGGCGUGCGGAACCAGCCUUGUUGCUCGGAGUCCUACAAAUCAAGUUUACAGCAAUCACGGCAGUUCUUCAGAUGAGCCGCUCCCUCCUCAUGCUCCAGGCACGGGAUCCAAGGAAUGCUUUGGCAUUUCGGAAAGCUGACUUUGGGGCAAUGCUGGUAAUGACUAUGUUUCGACGCAAAGCAUUUUUGUCGUACAUGGCAUGAAAUAAUAUCCUGAUUACCAAGGAAAAGAAAAUGUCUUACGGUUGGAUAAAUGUGUCACUUAAUAGCAACUAUGAGUGGGAUGUCAAAGAAUAAUUUUGUCGCCUGUAGAAAACAUAUGAAGGAGUGCCACUUUUGAAAAAUGCCAUCUUUAAAAGGCAAAUCUAAAUGUCAGAGAGACAGAUACUUUACACAAAAGGAGCCAUGCCUUCUGGGCCUCCAACACAAAAAAAAAAGGCGUGAGAAUCCCAUUUUUCCCAGUUGAUAUGAACUGCAAUUACCCGACAUCAAGCAUACAAAGUAGCUCGCUCGCAUUUAUGCGCACAUAGCCUGGAGAUGAACACGCGUGCCUCUGCAGCAUUACUCUGGCAAACACAACAAAAGGAUUAAAAAAAAAAAAAACUCGUAUUUGAUGUCACUCUGAAACGAGCACAAUAGUGUUAUUGAGAAGAGAAUCACAUUCGUAUGCAUACAGUAUCCACGGCGACAUUUAGCACACCUGUGAAAUACGAUGAGCCUCAAUUGCAAAGAUGGGUCCAAAACUCUGCCUUUGCCAUGAUGCAAUACUUGACUGACACAGAGAGAUCAUGUUUAUUCGAGCAGUUUUCAUGUAAAUUGGUGUAAAACUUGCAACGCGUCAUACUAAGAGGUGAUUCGGAUAUUUGGUCUCCUUGCUUUGCAUCACCCUAAUGAAGACAAGCGCUAUACAAUACAAUACUAUACAUGCUGAUUUAUAUAGCGCUUUCACAACAGCGGCAGCUGUAACAAAGCGCUUUACAAAACAGUUAACAUCAAGUAAAAUAAUAAACACAACACAUAACAAAACACGGACAGUCAUGCAGUUCUAACCACUUUUCCAUCACACGCUUUGUUGUUUGAAGCGGUUUGAGAUGAAAGAGGAGAGACUCAAAGUUUCCCUUAACCGGUGGAUCAGAGACGUCAUGCUCAAAAUGUGCACACGUCAGCUACAAGCUAAGUUUCAAAGUCAACAAGAGGCUGUAGCAUCCAUUGACGAAAAAAAAGAUUGGUUGACUUCUCCUGUCCCGUGUAAAUCCACUUCAAUUCCAAGUGGCGACUCACGGUUCCAAAUACGCUCCCGUCUCCUCAUCCUCAACUUCAGCAGCCAUCCAUUCAGCCGCACCAACGCCGACUGUCCAACAGCGCCGACUUCCAAUGAACAAAACGGGGUUGUGAAAAAUGCUGCCCAUUACAGGCGCAAAAAAACACAAGCGCCCCAGGUCUGUCCGGCACCGACAGUCAAUGGCGCCGACAUUCCUCCCAAUCAAAAUCUGUGCUGGUACAGGCGUGCUGCCGAGAAGGCGCAACCACCAAGCACAGAUACUGCUCCUUUGACGAAUGUCGUGGCCAAAAAGCGCUGAAAACAGUCCAUAUCAGGUCCACACGAUGAAACAACAAACGGAUAGGGGGAUGGGUUUGCUGCAUGGGGGUGGAGUGGGGGGUGGGGGGGGGUACAUAUCUCCAGAUGCUUACUGAAUGAAAAUGUGUUUUGGCUUUUACACUUUAGCAAAAAAAGUUGAUUACUUUUCAUUCCCCGUUAUUAUCUUGAAAAUGGAACGGAUUCAUGGCAUUUCAAUUCAUUUGAAUGGGCAAAGUUGAUUUGACAUACAAGCGACAUGAGAGUUGAGCUUGCUCAGCUCGUCAGCUGUAAAUUCAAAUGUUGGAGAUGCUUAAAAGUCACCUCGUGACUGCUUUUGUAGAACCAACCUUAAAACUUUGAUGUUUUUGUUUUUUUUUUUCUUUGAAAAGGCCUCAUGUCCGUGACGUCAUCACCCAGUCCAAAAAUGGAUGCAGGCUCUGUGCGCGCUUUCGGCCCGGCCAAGACAAAGAAAGCAAAAUGGCCCAUUUAAUGAAGGUGAACAUCCGUAAUGUUAAUAAAACGUCAAAUAAGUGUAUGAGACAACUCUGGAUGGAAAUAUGAGCAGGGGCCUGAACGUGAACGACGCCCCCCCCAAAUGACGGCGGCGCCUAGGAAGCUUGGGUGCUGAGCGUUUCUCAGGUGACGGACGGUGUACAGGACGAGAUGGCGACAGCAGCGAAGGAGGCCGCUGCAGGUUUUUCCGCUUUUAAUGGGUGAGGUUGCGCGUCAGGUCAGUGGGAGCCAAUUUUAACGUCGAGCGGCGGGGGUGUCAAGGUUUAUCUUAAACACGACGGAGACCCACCGAGCCCUUCUCUUAACAUGCAAAUGAGACAGGAACAAAUGUCCUGUCACUUCGGGGCGGCUUGUCCCAAAGUGCUUAACAGUCUUCCCCGUCAGCCCCCACCCCCUCCCCUCUCUUCAGCCUCUUCAAUUGCUUCAAAUCCCAUCCGGUGCCUACCUCACUCUCUUAUGUUCUUUAAAUGAGCUUUCCAACUCCACUUCUUUCUUGCAAUUCAAUUUUACAAGGCCAUUAUCCCCGGUGUAAUGUGGAGGUUAAAUAUAUCGGGGUAGACGUUAUGUGAAAAUAAUUAGCGCUAAUGAAUAAUGCAUUCAUUCCGCCGAUGAAGGAUGGUUGUCAGGGUAAUGCAGGACAUGGGAGGGGCCCCUCUGACAAAUUAAAAUAUUUAAACACUCUUGUAUAAUA